UCUGUCAGCACGAUGCCAGGCAAACCAGCCCCAAUCAAGAAGUCCCCAGCUAAGAAGGCUGCCGAAAAGGCACCUGAGCCUGUUCCCGUGGAGGUUCCACCUGCCGAAGCCCCACCUGCAGAGGCGCCAUCCGCGGAAGCUGCACCUGCGGAGGCAGCCGCUCCCGCUGAGGGGGCACCGGCCGAGGCGGCUCCAGCCGCAGCGGCCGAAGGGAGCCCUCCAGCUGAUGAGACACCCGCUGAGGAGGGAGGUGACACUGCAGCUCCUGCUGAGGCUGCUGCUCCCGCUGCUGAAGACGGUGCCGCUGCUCCAGCUACAGAAGCUGCAGAUGCUGCAGGAGCUGCAGAAGCUGCAGAUGCUGCAGGACCUGCGGAAACUCCUGCAGAUGCUGCUCCAGCUGAGCCUGCUGUAGUUGAAGAGCCACCAAAGGCCCCCACGCCCCCACCUCCUGCAGUGCCCACCAGCGCUCCUCUGGAGGUGUCUGUAGAGGACGUGAAUGACUCCAGCCUCACCAUCAAAUGGAAGACCCCCGAGACCAUCGGAGACUCAGGCCUUGACGGAUACACCAUUGAGUACUGCAAGGAUGGAACUACAGACUGGGUCACAGCUCAGGAGGAACUCACCCCAGCUAACCGCUUCUGCAUAAAGAAUCUGACGGCCGGCGACCUGCUUCGUGUGCGUGUUGUGGCUGUAAACCCCGGUGGCCGCAGUGAACCUGGUACACUGGCUGAGCCGGUGCCAAUCCGAGAAAUUGUCGACCGUCCUAAGAUCCGCAUGCCACGCAACCUCAGAGCUCAAAUUGUCAAGCAAGUUGGAGAUCAGAUCAACCUGGUUAUCCCCUUUUUGGGAAAACCCAAACCUGUGGUGUCCUGGCUGAAGGAUGGUCAGCCUCUCGACAUGAAGCGGGUCAACAUCAGGAACAGCGACAAAGACAGCAUCAUGUUCAUCCGCACGGCUCAAAGGGAGGACUCUGGUGUUUAUGAGAUGUCAGUGAAAGUGGACAGCUUUGAAGACAAAGCCACUCUCACGCUCCAGAUCGUGGAGCUGCCCGGCCCUCCUACCAGUGUGAAGCUGGUGGACACCUGGGGCUUUAACGCUGCUCUGGAGUGGACCGCUCCCAAAGAUAACGGCAACACAGAGAUCACAGGAUACACUGUGCAGAAGGCUGACAGGAAGACCGGGGAAUGGUUCACAGUGUUGGACCACUACCACAGACUCACUGCCACCGUCUCAGACCUCAUCAUGGGAAACUCAUACUCCUUUAGAGUGUUUUCAGAGAACCAGGUGGGCAUCAGUGAGAGCUGUGCUAUCACCAAGGAUGUGGCCACCAUCCAGAAGACAGGCAUUGUCUACAAGCCUCCUGAAUACCCAGAGCAUGACUUCAGCGAGGCCCCCAAGUUCACCACACAACUCAGCGACCGGGCUGCCACUGUGGGAUACACCACCAAGCUGCUGUGUUCUGUCCGUGGAUCCCCCAAGCCCAAGAUUGAGUGGUUGAAGAACCAAAUGAUCAUUGGUGAUGACCCCAAGUUUCGUCAGAUCUCUAACCAGGGCAUCUGCUCCCUGGAGAUCCGUAAACCCUGCAGCUUUGAUGGAGGCGUGUAUACCUGCAGAGCCAAGAACACUCAGGGAGAAGCCACUGUGUCCUGCAAGCUGGAGGUCAAACAGAUUAUUAUUCCAGAUGAGAGGGGAAAAUAAACCAACACCCAAGGCUUUAGAGUGCUUUUAACAGAACAGCAGAAGUCAGGUCUUAUAUGUUACAAGAGUGUUUGCAGAGGUGAGAGAAAAGUCGUGGCUGUCUGUGCAGCAGUGUGUACAUAAUGAAGAAAGAGACAACCCGCAUACCAACUCACCCACCCACCCAUACCAGACUCACCCACUCCUUUCAGAAUGUAAGGAGGACCCACCAUGCCCAUCCCAGUUUGCCAAAUGUUGUAGUUAUUUUAGCCGAUGACAUGUCUGUAAUCUAUAUUUACCAUGUUUUUUUCUGAGUCCAUGCCACUGUUUGUUACGGUAUAUACAGUAAAUGUACUACCUAAUAAAACUGAAUAUUUCA